rnacentral:rRNA from 1 species
CCUACGGGUGGCAGCAGUGGGGAAUAUUGGGCAAUGGGCGCAAGCCUGACCCAGCAACGCCGCGUGAAGGAAGAAGGCUUUCGGGUUGUAAACUUCUUUUGUCAGGGAAGAAUAGAAGACGGUACCUGCCGAAUAUCCCACACCUAACUACGUGCCAGCAGCCACGGUAAUACGUAGGUGGCAAGCGUUGUCCGGAUUUACUGGGUGGAACGGGCGUGUAGCCGGGUUGGCAAGUCAGAUGUGAAAUCCUGCGGCUUAACCGCAGAACUGCAUUUGACACUGGUGAUCUUGAGUACUGGAGAGGCAGACGGAAUUCCUAGUGUAGCGGUGAAAUGCGUAGAUAUUAGGAGGAACACCAGUGGCGAAGGCGGCCUGCUGGACAGCAACUGACGGUGAGGCGCGAAAGCGUGGGGAGCAAACAGGAUUAGAUACCCUUGUAGUC